CUCUAUUUUACAAUUGAAAAAAACUAAAGCACAGAGAUUUCAACUGGUUCACUUUCUCUCCUGUCUCAUGGAAACAUGAUUCUCCUCUCUAAGGUACUCCGCUUCCUGUGCUCCUGAAGGAAUCCCUACUAUGUCUUCCUAAACCUGACUUUCCUCAUCUCACUCUUGCUUUAACUCACCCUCUUUAGUCUCUUUCCUUUCUCCUUCCUCCUAAAGUACAUCUCUUUAACUCAGUUCUCUCUCAAAUUCCCAUGCUAUCUCCUCCUUCAUUACCUUCAACAAACCUCUUAAAAGAACAAACUUCAGGCCGAGCACGGUGGCUCACUCCUGUAGUCCCAGCACUCUGGGAGGCCGAGGAAGGUGGAUAUCCUGAGGUCAGGAGUUCAAGACCAGCCUGGCCAACAUAGUGAAACCACGUCUCUACAAAAAUACCAAAAUUAGCUGGGCAUGAUGGCGGGUGCCAGUAGUCCCAGCUACUCGAGAGGCUGAGGCAGGAGAAUAGCUUGAACCCGGGAGGCGGAGGUUGCAGUGAGCCAAGAUUGUGCCAAUGCAGUCCAGCCUGGGUGACAGAGCGAGACUCUUGUCUCAGAAGAAAAAGAACAAAUUUCAACUUUCUCUACCUUCUCAAAUCUUAUUCACUAUUCAUUGACUAACGCAUUCAUUACUCAUUAUCCUCCCCAUUUAAACCUGCAAAUUCCCCUAGUAUGUUCUCUUAGUUAACUGCAGCACCACUACCUCAGUCUGCCAAGUUUCAAAUUAGACUCACCCUCAAAAAUCUCUUCCUUUCUUCUUCAUUUUGGUCUACCUGGAAGCCUCUAAAGUCUGAUUUUACAUCUGUCAACUUUAUGCCAGGCUUAUCUAUCAUCUUCUAGGGUAAAUGUUCUCAACUAGGAGUUGCACCAGAAUUACUUAGAAAGUUUUUUCAAAGUACCUACAUGAACAAUCUUAUAUUAUAUAUAUAAGGUAUAUAUACCAACUAUCCCCCAAUACAAACAGACAUUCACUUAUUACUCUCUUAUGGACUAUCAAAAUCUCUGGGCAGAAAAAAAGAUGUUCAUCUGAGCAGAUGAUCCUAGUAUGCUACACAUAACUCCUUUGCCUUGGAAGAGAAAGCUUCAAUUUGUCCCAGUGAUAAAAACCACUAAAAAACAUAUGUAACCAUAGUUCC
rnacentral:lncRNA from 1 species